AAGGUGCUUAAGGUAUCCAGAGUUGUGGAUCCAACUCUGUGGAGGAGAGCUGGUCUAGCAUGCACGAGGCCCUGGGUACAAACAGGAGAACUACACAAAGGAAAAGCCAGAAAUGGUGUGUUUGGAAAUCGCCUGCCAUCAAAACAUAAUCUAAUGAAGAUCACAAGGGCUGCCAGAAAUGUAACCAAACGCUUCGCAAAAAUGUCUCUCACAGAGCUGUGAUUUGGAAGGGCAAAAGUGACCCAGGAAAACAUUCAUUUGCUAAUUAUAGAAGGAAAUGCUUCAUUUGCUGUGGUCUAUGAUUAGCACAUUAGCUAGAAAAGUAUUUCAGUUGGUGUGGGGAGUACACACGGCUAAUCCUAAGCACUUGCAAGGCUGAAUCGGGAGGCUCACAAGUCUGAGGCCAGCCUGGGCUACAUAAGUUACUUCUUGAACAGCCUGUGCCAUAGAGUAAAAUCUUAGACCAUUAAAAUAAAAUUUUAAUGCAAAUAGUAUUUUGAAGAAUAAUGACGUCAGACACUGUGGUGUGCACCUUUUAUCCCAGCCCUCUAAUGCCCAAGGGAGGUGGAUCUCUGUGAGUUCCAGCCCUGU
rnacentral:lncRNA from 1 species